GGGUUACCAUAUAAUGCCCAAGUCAAACUAGAAAUCAAGAUCUAUCUGUAGAAUCCAAAACACUAACACCGAGUAAAUACCAAAACUACAAACUAGAAGAACUAAAGGAACAACCGAGGAAACAGAAAAUAAAAAUAGGGAAGCGAGGAUGGAUUAAGGAGAGCUGGGCGUCCUCAUCGUCGUUCACAAGUAAAUGAACUGGCUAAAAAUCAGGCUCUCUCCUAUAAUACAAAUGAAGCAAAGGAGAAAUCCAGGAUGCUUCGACAAUUUUACCAUAUCGAUGGGAGGAAAAGGAGUUGAGGGCAACAAGGUGCGGAUAUCACAAAAAUAGGGGAUGGAGCCAAUGAACGACGAAACAAGGGAGGGUUUUUGGGGCGGCAAAAUUCGAUGGUCUCUAGCAAGAGCCAGAUCCGCGACAAAUGCAAGAGAAAGUUGGGAAAGAGAAAACAGAGGGGUGAAGGUAUCGAUUACCUUAUCGUGAUUAUGGGCUUAUUUGGAUUGAUCAUGAGUUGAUCAUGAUGUUUGUGAUUAGAUUAUGGUAUUUAUAAUUGGAUUUGCAUGGAUUUAGAUUCUUAUUUUGGUCAGAACAUUAGGAGUUAAAUAGAGAAAGUACGUGAGGAUCCAUAAGAACAUUUAUUUAGGGAAGUUGAAGAUCAAGAUAAGGGCAAAUGGUCAAAAUCUGGUGUACUCAGAAGCCAUGUGACAAAGAUGACUGCAUUCCUGAAGUCUUUUCUAGUAUAGCACGCUGACAUGAUGAAACAUUCAGAUC